GAUGAAGAACGUAGCAAAAUGCGAUAAGUAAUGUGAAUUGCAGAAUUCAGUGAAUCAUCGAAUCUUUGAACGCACAUUGCGCCCGCCAGUAUUCUGACGGGCAUGCCUGUUCGAGCGUCAUUUCAACCCUCAAGCACAGCUUGGUGUUGGGACUCGCGUUAAUUCGCGUUCCUCAAAUUGAUUGGCGGUCACGUCGAGCUUCCAUAGCGUAGUAGUAAAACCCUCGUUACUGGUAAUCGUCGCGGCCACGCCGUUAAACCCCAACUUCUGAAUGUUGACCUCGGAUCAGGUAGGAAUACCCGCUGAACUUAAGCAUAUCAAUAAGCGGAGGA
rnacentral:misc_RNA from 1 species